AGAGCUUUGCCACCUGUUUUCAGGCUGCCUCUGCCUCCAAACCCUGCGGAGCCCUCCCUGCCCCGUGCUUUGAAGCAGUUUCUUUGGAAGCUGCUGCACAGGGGUUAACAACAAGCAACAACUCAGGUCGCAUUCUUGUCAACGGAAGGGAGGGCCAGGUGGAACCGCCAAGGGGGCCAUUUCUGGCUUUGCUGGAGGCUGUCAGCUUCUGGUGGGAGCCACAGCCUGAGGGCAGCCAGGAUGGCUCUGCUGGGAGGGACACCCUGCCCAACCCUGGGAGCAGGUGACGAAGGCUCCUGGAGGCAUGGUCACAUCCCUGGGUCCCAGAGGCAGGAACAAAGCCCCCAGGGCAGUGUUCAUCAAGAAAGGGCCUCCGGGUUUGUGUUUACUGGACAUGAAUUGAGCUGCUCUCCAGAGAUAAGAAAAAAAUAUUACAGCCCUGCUAUGUGGGCACCCCACGGCAGCCCCCGGGGUUAAGGGGCAGCUUUCUUUCCAAGGAAUCCCAUUGCCAAAGAUGAACCUUCAGAUGGGGAAACUGAGGACCCAGAGGAAGCAAGAGCAGCCCCAGGCCACACAACCCUCUUUUUAUUAUUCAUUCACUGACUACACUGCAGAGGUUGGACCCAUAUCUCAUUAUUUGAAUAGUAAAUUGUUUUUUCUUCCUGACCCUUGGUCUGUUGGGUCUCUCAUUGCGCCAUGCAUCCAAGAAAGAACGUUCUGAAGCUUUCCAGUGCCACCCAAUCCCUGUAUCCUACUUUAUGCUUGAAAGUAAAGCUCACGGGUUUUUUUCUACUUCGGGUUGUUUAAAUAACCACAAUCGGUCGGGAGCGGUGGCUCACGCCUGUAAUCCCAGCACUUUGGGAGGCCGAGGCGGGUGGAUCACCUGAGGUCAGGAGUUAGAGACUAGCCUGGCCAACAUGGUGAAACCCCGUCUCUACGAAAUAUACAAAAAUUAGCCGGGCGUGGUGGCGGGCCCCUGUAAUCCCAACUACUGGGGAGGCUGAGGCUUGAACCCGGGAGGCGGAGGUUGCAGUGAGCCGAGAUUGCGCCAUUGCACUCCAGCCUGGGCGACAAGA
rnacentral:lncRNA from 1 species